rnacentral:rRNA from 1 species
ACCGGCGAACGGGUGAGUAACGCGUACACUACCUACCUUAUACAAGGGGACACACACCGGAAACGGAGUAAAUACCCUAUGUUAUCGAUAAAUUAAAGCUCCGGCGGUUUGAGAUGGGCAUGCGUGACAUUAGCUAGUUGGUAAGGUAAAGGCUUACCAAGGCAACGAUGUCUAGGGGUUCUGAGAGGAUGAUCCCCCACACUGGUACUGAGACACGGACCAGACUCCUACGGGCGACAGCAGUGACGAAUAUUGGUCAAUGGGCGCAAGCCUGAACCAGCCAUCCCGCGUGUAGGAAGACUGCCCUAUGGGUUGUAAACUACUUUUAUAAAGGAAGAAACCCUUCUACGUGUAGAAGGCUGACUGUACUUUAAGAAUAAGCACCGGCUAACUCCGUGCCAGCAGCUGCGGUAAUACGGAGGGUGCAAGCGUUAUCCGGAUUUAUUGGGUUUAAAGGGUGCGUAGGCGGGCCUUUAAGUCAGUGGUGAAAUCCUGCAGCUUAACUGUAGAACUGCCAUUGAUACUGAAGGCCUUGAGUAUAGUUGAGGUAGGCGGAAUGUGUAAUCUAGCGGUGAAAUGCUUAGAUAUUACACAGAACACCGAUUGCGUAGACAGCUUACUAAGCUAUAACUGACGCUGAUGCACGAAACCGUGGGGAGCGAACAGGAUUAGAUACCCUGGUAGUCCACGCCGUAAACGAUGAACACUCGUUGUUGUUUAUUUCUCAGUGACUAAGCGAAAGUGAUAAGUGUCCCACCUGGGGAGUACGGUCGCAAGAUUGAAACUCAAAGGAAUUGACGGGGGCCCGCACAAGCGGUGGAGCAUGUGGUUUAAUUCGAUGAUACGCGAGGAACCUUACCAGGGCUUAAAUGUAGGAUGCAUUAGGUAGAGAUACUUAUUUCUUCGGACUUCUUACAAGGUGCUGCAUGGUUGUCGUCAGCUCGUGCCGUGAGGUGUCAGGUUAAGUCCUAUAACGAGCGCAACCCCUAUUUUUAGUUGCUAACAGGUUAAGCUGAGGACUCUAGAGAGACUGCCGGUGCAAACCGCGAGGAAGGUGGGGAUGACGUCAAAUCAUCACGGCCCUUACGUCCUGGGCUACACACGUGCUACAAUGGUAUAGACAAUGAGCAGCCACUGCGUAAGCAGGAGCGAAUCUAUAAACUAUAUCUCAGUUCGGAUCGGAGUCUGUAAUUCGACUCCGUGAAGCUGGAAUCGCUAGUAAUCGGAUAUUAGUUAUGAUCCGGUGAAUACGUUCCCGGGCCUUGUACACACACCGCCCGUCAAGCCAUGGAAGCUGAGGGUACCUGAAGUCGGUCACCGCAAGGAGCCGCCUAGGGUAAAAUUGGUAACUGGGGGUAAGUCGUAACAAGGUAACC